CUAGUUUUAAGCCAACUACUUGCGUAAAUUUAGAAAAGGUCAGUUCAAACCACAUAUUUUUGAUUACGAGAUCACUAACAAUUUUUAGUUUUUGAUCAAUUAAAAACGGAUUCAACCAUUGUUUGGAUAAAGUUAUUACAAGCUUGGUAAGGGAUACAAAGAUGGGAUCAAGUGUAAGCGUUGGCCCUAAGGACAGAAGCCGGGUUCGUUCAGUUACCACAAAUGCACCCUCACAGAAAGGACGACUUGGCACAAAUCUCGGUAAGCAGACACCGACAACACAAGUAACCGUUGUUCAAGCGGCUCCUGAUCAACAACAGCAACAACAAUACUACCAGCCUCCUCCCCAACAGGUACACCAUCAGCCACAACAGUAUCAUCAGUCGCAGCAUUAUCAGCAGCAAUAUCAGCAACCAGUUCAGCAUUAUCAACAACCUCAAUAUCAACAACAGAAUGGUUAUUAUCAACAACAGCAGCCGCCAGAUUACAAUCAAUCUCAAGCCGAGUAUCAACACCAACAAUACCAGCAUUCACAACAACAAACCCAAUAUCAACAACCACAACAAACCCAAUAUCAACAACCACAACAAACCCAAUAUCAACAACAACAGCAAACACAGUAUCAACAGCAUCAACCACAUCAACAAGCACCUGAACCUCAACAACAAACAAAUACAGGUGACGUUCCCGGAACACCAAGCAGCUCCAAAGAGGCAAGUGACCGCAAAACGCCAAGCGAUUCCAAGGAGGCAGGUGACCCACAACGCAAAGUAACUCCAGAGGCAAGUGAUCGCACAACGCCAAGCGAUUCAAAAGAGGUAGGUGACUCCACAACACAAAAUGAACCCAAAGAGGCAGGCGACCCCGCAUUAACAAGCAACUCCAGAGAAAACUGAAACUCCUGAACAAGUACAAGAAACAUUCUAGUUCAGGAGAACAAGCAAUAUUCUGAAUGUUGGGUUAUCAAAGAAAACAAAAGAAGAUUUGCCUAAGGCUGUUAUGCAGAAUUGGUCAAGGCAGAUGAACGAUUAAUGAUGCAUAG
rnacentral:misc_RNA from 1 species